AAUAAACCUUAAUCGGACGAGUUAUGUUGAUAUCACCAGUAGGUAACAUUCAGUGAGGUUCCGGCGAAGAUUCGGUGUACGAACUUGAAGAUGCAUGUUCCUUUUUCGAGGAGAUCGACAAACCCGAGAUGUUGUUGGCUUCCGACGACGAAGAAGACGCCGGACAGUUGCGGUGCAUGGUGGUGGUAUGGCAAAGAAGAUAAAACCCGACUUUGUGUUGAGACCAUCAAUUUUCUUAUCAGAAUGGUAAGCCAAUUUCAACCCUAAGUUAGGUUUGUUGCUGCUAUUAAAGAUGAAAUCGAUAAUAUUGAUCAGGUACUCAUUGUGAUGGGAUUUACAGUAGAAAGAUAGAAAGAGCAGCUAUACACACCUUCAAGUUUCAGGGCGACAAUAGGGUUGUGGUUGUCGUUAUUGGUGGUCGUCAAAGGGUUAGAUCCGUUUUCCAGGGGCUAGGGUUCGACAAUGAAUCACUGGGACGACAAUGUGUUCUUCUCUGGUGACUGGCGGUUCCGCGAUUCAGGACUCCCUUCUCCGCUCCUUUUGCGUGUCUUCCGCCAUAAAAACCUAUAUCGGUAGAGAUCCAGCCACUGAUACACUGCGUAGGGUAACACUUUACAUCUUUUUCUCCAAAUGUUAGCGCCUAUUACAAUCGAUUGACAUUUUUCUGUUGUUUUUUCGUAUUUUUUUUCACGUUAUGUUGUGAUUUGAUUAUCAUACUAAUACCUGAAGAGUGAUUUUGGAAUUUGGUGUUGGCAGUUCAUCUUAUAGACAUCUGGUACGAAAUUGGUUGUACAAAAAUCCAGGCAUGAAAAUUCUUGAUUUCAUAUAAAUAUAUGCUAUUUUGCUAGAAGUUGUGGUUAAAUUUGAAUCUUUU